GUGAAUCAUCGAAUCUUUGAACGCAAAUUGCGCUUCCUGGUAUCCCGUGGAGUAUGCCUGUUUGAGGGUCAGUAUUAACAAAAAGUCUUGUUGGGUGCAGAGUGUUACGUUUCCGGAGUUUGGGCUUGUCUUAACUUUUUUGGUUAAGGGUCUGAAAGUUGACCUUUUUUGCGCAUUUUUAGACUUACAUAAAUUUUUUUUUAUUCGUCUAUUCUUAUUGCCAAAAUCUUAUUAGAUGCGGUCACAUCGUGUGGCUGC
rnacentral:misc_RNA from 1 species